rnacentral:rRNA from 1 species
GACGAACGCUGGCGGCGUGCUUAACACAUGCAAGUCGAACGGAAAGGCCCUGCUUUUGUGGGGUGCUCGAGUGGCGAACGGGUGAGUAACACGUGAGUAACCUGCCCUUGACUUUGCGAUAACUUCAGGAAACUGGGGCUAAUACCGGAUAGGAGCUCCUGCUGCAUGGUGGGGGUUGGAAAGUUUCGGCGGUUGGGGAUGGACUCGCGGCUUAUCAGCUUGUUGGUGGGGUAGUGGCUUACCAAGGCUUUGACGGGUAGCCGGCCUGAGAGGGUGACCGGCCACAUUGGGACUGAGAGACGGCCCAGACUCCUACGGGAGGCAGCAGUGGGGAAUAUUGCACAAUGGGCGGAAGCCUGAUGCAGCAACGCCGCGUGCGGGAUGACGGCCUUCGGGUUGUAAACCGCUUUCGCCUGUGACGAAGCGUGAGUGACGGUAAUGGGUAAAGAAGCACCGGCUAACUACGUG